rnacentral:rRNA from 1 species
UACGUAGGGUGCGAGCGUGUCCGGAAUUAUUGGGCGUAAAGAGCUUGUAGGUGGCUCGUCGCGUCGGGAGUGAAAACCCGCGGCUUAACCGCGGGCCUGCUUUCGAUACGGGCGGGCUAGAGUUCGGCAGGGGAGACUGGAAUUCCUGGUGUAGCGGUGGAAUGCGCAGAUAUCAGGAGGAACACCGGUGGCGAAGGCGGGUCUCUGGGCCGAUACUGACACUGAGAAGCGAAAGCGUGGGGAGCGAACAGG